rnacentral:lncRNA from 1 species
AGCACCGAAGAGAACGGAUGUAGGGCUGACGUGGAGGAGAAUGACAGCAUCCCCGGGACGGAUGUAGUGGUCGACAGCCCAGCUGACAGCGUAGGCAGAUUCAUCGGAGAGGUCAACCGCGACGCCGAUCUUGCGGCGGGCACCAGCGGUGGGAGUGGCGGCGUGUAGGUGGGAGUGGUGGUGAGAGUGGCGUGGGGAAGAAGGGUGGUGGAUCUUGAUUGUUGGGAGUUGUGGGUGGUCUGGAUCUACUGGAUUUUGUUGUUGCUGUUGAGGAUUCAUCGCUUCUGAUAAGGUUUGAUGUGUUUUUAUUUUA